rnacentral:rRNA from 1 species
AAACGCUUGACACCAGUCAUGCGGAUAAGAAAUCAAUCUCUUGUAGGUUGGAGUUGUAGUGGUUCAGACCGCAAGGCUGGCUGCUGCUUCAUCUGAUUUGGAAUGGAUGCACUUUCUUGUUUGCAGGUCAACAUCAGUUUUGCUUGUCGGAUAAAACUUUGAGAGAAUGUAGUGACUUUGGUCAUGUUAUAGCUCUGAAGCGAUACGGCGGGCGAGACUGAGGUUUCGCAGUGUGUGCUCUCGGGCAAGGGUGCAGGGGUGCUAUGGGAUUGUUCAGGGUAAACUGCUUGCAUUUUGCCUCGUGUCUUUUCUAUACUCGCUUCUUUCAUCUCUUCCACACUUAGGAUGUUGACUUAAUGGUUUUAAUCGA